AGAGUUUGAUCAUGGCUCAAGAUGAACGCUGGCGGUCUGCUUAACACAUGCAAGUAGAACGGGAUGCUUCGGCAUUUAGUGGCGGACGGGUGAGUAACGCGUGAGGAUCUGCCCUCAGGACGGGGACAACGAAUGGAAACGGUCGCUAAUACCCGAUGUGCCGGAAGGUGAAAAGAGAUUCGCCUGAGGAUGAGCUCGCGUCUGAUUAGCUAGUUGGAGUGGUAACGGCACACCAAGGCGACGAUCAGUAGCUGGUCUGAGAGGAUGACCAGCCACACUGGGACUGAGACACGGCCCAGACUCCUACGGGAGGCAGCAGUUAGGAAUAUUGCUCAAUGGGCGCAAGCCUGAAGCAGCGACGCCGCGUGGGCGAUGAAGGUUUUCGGAUCGUAAAGCUCUUUUACCCGGGAAGAUAAUGACUGUACCGGGAGAAUAAGCCCCGGCUAACUCCGUGCCAGCCGCCUCGGUAAUAC
rnacentral:rRNA from 1 species